AUACGGAGGGUGCAAGCGUUACUCGGAAUCACUGGGCGUAAAGCGCGCGCAGGCGGCUUGAUAAGUUGGAUGUGAAAGCCUACGGCUCAACCGUAGAACUGCAUCCAAAACUGUCAAGCUAGAGUCUGGGAGGGGAAGAUGGAAUCAGUUGUGUAGGGGUAAAAUCCGUAGAGAUAACUAGGAAUACCAAAAGCGAAGGCGAUCUUCUGGAACAGUACUGACGCUAAGGCGUGAAAGCGUGGGGAGCAAACAGGAUUAGAAACCCCGGUAGUCC
rnacentral:rRNA from 1 species